UCUGGCCUAACUUCAGCAAAAUUCUUUGAUUGCCUCCGGUUAGUAUUCUAACCUGGUUAGGCCGCUAGUGAGGGGAAGGAUAGGAAGAACGGUGGUGGGGUUGGUCCGGACAACGAGAAGGUUCUUAAAGUUUCCUGGGAGAUGAGUGGCGCUGACUAUACCGUAGAGAGGUUGAAGGAGUUGUUUCCAGUGUUUGGUGAGGUCAAAGAUGUCACUAGGAAGAAGAGAGGAUCUGCACUAGUCGUGAUGGCAUCUCAAGAUGUUCUGUUGCUGCCACAGGAACCGUGUGUGGAGAUCUUUCAAAUCCUUUGUUAGUCAUCCCUCUUCAGCCAGUUGUAGCAACACACUUCGCAAGCUUCAACAAGCCUGUGGAGAAAGAUCUCAACCGUGAUCUUGUAGGGGCUGGGUAUUAAGUUUUUGAGGACUCUGUGAUGAAGAAACUCCAAAAGGACAGCUACCGUUUGCCGGAAGAGAAGCCGUGGAUGACUCAGCUCUCGGCCGUUGCUCGUCUCUCUCUCUCUCUCCCAAAGUGGAGGAGAGACCCAAGUGCCUCUCCUGAUUGAUUUCCAAGUACUUGCCAGAAAAUGUCUGUCCUCCAGCUAUUUGAUAAAAUGCCUGUGAGAAAAGUGUCGUUUGUUUUUUUUGCUCGAAAAAGUGUCAUUUGGUUUGCUUGUUAAUUGACAAUGUGGGUUCGGUUGUUUUAUUUGCUUUUUUUGUUUUUUUCGGGUCGAGGACAGUAGCUUCGUCUUUGGGGGGAAAACUAGACAGGGAAUGCCCUUGUUUUCAAUCUUCAUCUAUUAUAUUCUUUCCUCGCUGUCCCUC